AAGAAGGUUAAGACCAAGACGAGGAGCAGUAAAGAGGAUGAGACAGAAGGAGAUUAGGAGAACCAAAAAGUCCAAAAGAAGAAAAGGAGGAGCAUUGUAGGAAAAAAAAAAAAAGAGUUGGAUGGAAGAAAAAGAAUUGGAUUAGCUGGUUAACCUGGGGACCAAAAAGAAGACGUUACGACGAGCCUGGUGGAUCUGGUAACCAUGACAACCGUUCAAAUACCUUGGUAGUCAGCGGGGAACCAUGGUAGCCAGGGUCCUUGAGGAACGACUGCCUGCCCCCCGUAGACCCAAUGGACUGACGUGGGCAUCUACCUGACCCGUCCAUGGAGCGCCUAAAGCCCCUCCCACUCCUCCUCCUGCUGGUGGCGAUGGGUCAGUGUCAGUAUGACACGUGUCGUACUUUUGGAGACUUGGAGGCGGAGUCAAGAUGGGAGUUCGCCGCCUGUCAGCCCCCGCCCACAAACAUGAAAGAGGUGAUGCAGAUCAGGGUGGAUCCACCCGGAGUCACCUGUGGAAACCCCCCUGAACGCUUCUGUACCCUGGAGAACCCGUACCUCUGCAGCGACGAGUGCGACGCGUCCAGUCCCGACCUGUCUCACCCCCCUCAGCUGAUGGGGGACCGGGAAAGAGGAGGGCUCAUCACCUACUGGCAGACGGUCACAUGGUCCAAGUAUCCGGUGCCGCUAUUGGCCAACAUCACGCUGUCGUGGAACAAGAGUCUGGAGGUAGUUGAUGACCUGGUGGUGACCUUUGAAUAUGGCCGCCCCACCAGCAUGGUCCUGGAGAAGUCACUGGACAAAGGUGUCACAUGGCAGCCGUACCAGUUCUAUGCUGACGACUGCAUGGACACGUUCGGCAUGCCACCGAAACGGGUGUCGGAUUUGGCGCCCAGCAACGUGACCCGGGUCAUCUGUACCGAGCAGUACUCCCGAUGGGUGGGGGCCAAGGAGGAGAAGACGGUGGUGUUUGAGGUGCGAGCUCGCUUCCAAGUGUUUACGGGGCCAAAGCUGAUCAACAUGGACGCCCUGUACACCCGCAUGGAAACCACCAAAGGUCUGAGAGAUUUUUUCACCUUCACCAACAUCCGCCUGCGACUCCUCCGCCCGGCGCUCGGCGGGACCUACGUCCAGCGGGACAACCUGCUCAAGUACUUCUACGCCAUCUCCAACAUAGACAUACCUGCCAGGUGUCAAUGUAACCUGCACGCAUCGAGUUGUUCACCGCGCGACGCCACACUCAUGUGCGACUGUGAACACAACACCGGUGGACAGGACUGCGAGCGCUGCAAUUCCGAGUUCACUCCCAGCAGUUGGAGGCCCGGAACCUUCCUGCCCCUGCCCAAGGGCACGGCCAACGCUUGUGAAGCGGCACAGACAACAGCCAGUACGGCUGAUGACUCAAACUCUGAUAGAACUUCUGCUUCAUCACGUGGAAUCACUGACGCUUCUACUACUGUUACUGUCGUCAUGACUGAUACUUGGACUACUUCUACCACUGACACUGCUUCUACUGCUACUAUUACUGAUGAGGACACUAUUGAUACUUUGAUGACUUCUACUAUUACUGCUACGGACACUACUGAUACUUUGAUGACUUCUACUAUUACUGAUACAGACACUAUUGAUACUUUCAUGACUUCUAUUAUUACCAAGAUAUACACUACUGAUAUUUUAAUGACUUCUACUAGUAUCCCUACGGACGCUACUAAUACUUUAAUGACUUCUACCAUUACCGUUAAGGACAUAACUGACACUUUAAAGACUUCUACUGUUACCAACAAGGACACUGCUGAUACUUUGAUGACUUCUACUAGCGACAUGUUUUCUAGCUGGACUACAGCUGAUUCUACUUCAAAUGCUUACAGUUCUAUGACUGACAGUUCUAUUAUUGACAGUUCUUCAACUGACGCUAGCACUAUGAUGACAAAGGAGGGAAGUACUACAACAAAGUCUAGCUCUAGCUUGCAGACUACCAUUCUUGUGGACUCUGAUAAUUCAAAGUCAGCGACUACUUUGGAAGUUUCUGGUGACUUUUCUUCUUGGACAACCGGGGGCGCGCCUCCUGUCAUUAGUGCUGUCAGUAGUACAGUUAGCACCCCAGGUCUUGAUAGGCUUUUUGACCUUGGCAGUGUCGCAGGACCGAGGACAGACAAUCCAUUUUCUAUUCUAGCAGAAACCCUGGCUCUAAGGACCACGAUCGGUACCUCCGGUACCACAAACAGCAACGCCAGUCCAAAGAGCAGUACUGACUCUGAGGUCAUUUCUGACCAAGUGACUUCCCCUAACUCCAACUUGUCACCGCAAAGCACAGACUUUGUCCCCCCAGAGACUGGUGCAUCCAGCAUCAUACGUACAGUUCUACGUUCUAGUGGACCUCCACCAGUCACGACAUUGGCAUGGGAAGUAACUAAGUCUGACAACAUGGUCCUCUCUGGAGAUAUUGCGACUACUGAAUUAUCUUCUCCUGAUGGAGAUGCUCCACCUACUUUUGAUGUUCCAACUUUUAACGGACCUCCUCCUGAUGAAUAUUUUCCUGAUGACCUGCUCCCCAUUGAAGCUGCUGAUGUUUCUCUUGCUAAUGUACCUCCUGCUGUUGCUCCUUCUCCUGAUGGGUUCCUUCCUGAUGGACCCUCCACCAAUGAAACACUUCUUAAGUUACCAACGCCUGAUUCAGCCUCUCUUGAUGUCACCCCUGAUUCUCAGUCCACCUAUAUAAAUGGUCCACCUGAAAGACCUACCACCAUGCAACCUCCUAGUGAAGAUGAAACUCCACUUGAAGGAGAUACUCGUGAUGAAAUUGCUGUUGACAGAUCUCCUGAGGAAAAUUCCCCUUCUGAUAUUUCUCCUUCUGAAGUAUCUCCUUCUGCUAGACUCCCAUCUGAAGUAUCUCCUCUUGAAGUGCUCCCCCAAGCUCCUGAUGUACCUAUGAACAUAUCUACUUUUAAAUUUGGAGAAGAUGCACAGGUUGGUCCAGAUUGGUCUGAGCCGGCUGGUGACCUGGCUCCAGUCGACUUCACCUUCCCUUUUCCAGAGGAACUGGAUUUGACUGGCCCUGAUGCACCUCCUGGAACAGAGGAUUCCGAUCCAGAUCCUGCUUCUGAGUCAGUUGACAGUAGCUCGGAUUCAGACUUAGCAGAAGGAGGAACAAGUCAAACAGAUAAGGGAAGACCUGGGUUGGCUGGAUCAGACUCUUUGGAAAUAAAUCCUGAAGCUCCUGAGUUGGCUCCCAGCCCUGAUUCUCCUCCAACAGUCAAUGAACCAAGAUUAGAUUCUUCACCAGGUCAGAAGAAAGAAGAGCUGGAUUCAAGCCCUGAUUCUCCUCCAACUGUGACUGAACAAAGAUUAGAUUCUUCACCAGGUCAGAAGAAAGAAGAGGUUGAUCCCAGCCCUGAUUCUCCUCCAACAGUCAAUGAACCAAGAUUAGAUUCUUCACCAGGUCAGAAGACAAGAGAGCUAGGUUCAAGCCCUGAUUCUCCUCCAACAGUCAAUGAACCAAGAUUAGAUUCUUCACCAGGUCAGAAGACAAAAGAGCUAGGUUCAAGCCCCGAUUCUCCUCCAACAGUCAAUGAACCAAGAUUAGAUUCUUCACCAGGUCAGAAGACAAAAGAGCUAGGUUCAAGCCCUGAUUCUCCUCCAACAGUCAAUGAACCAAAAUUAGAUUCUUCACCAGGUCAGAAGAAAGAAGAGCUUGAUCCCAGCCCUGAUUCUCCUCCAACAGUCAAUGAACCAAAAUUAGAUCCUUCACUAGAUCAAAAGAAGGAAGAAGACAAAGACAAACGGAGGACAGAGGAGCAAACAGACAAAAAAGCUGCCGAGUCCAAACGCAAAGAAGCUUCAAAGAAAAAAGAGAAAGAUGAAAAAGAAUAUGAGAAAAAAGCGACCCAAAAGAUUCUGAUUCCGGGAGGACCAAAGACCAGUCAACUGUCCAAAAUUGCCUAUGUCACCUUCCAGGACUGCGAGUGUAACGCACACUCCAACCGCUGCAGCUUCAUCGACUUCCUGAACGUGGUGACGUGCGUGAGCUGUAAACACAACACGCGAGGAAACAGGUGCCAGUACUGUCGACUGGGUUACUAUAGAAACGCAUCGCUGGCCCUGGAGGACCAGAACGUGUGUGUGGAGUGCGAGUGCGACGCCAGUGGCAGCUCGUCUCCACACUGCUCUCAGUCGGGAUCGUGCCAGUGCAAAGAGGGCGCCGCCGGGAGGCGCUGCGACUCUUGUCUGCCCGGGUACAUGUGGAGAGGGGCCGCAGUUGGAUGCACAGUCAACGUAUGCGACGAGACUCGGACUUGCCAGAACGGCGGGACCUGCGUGGACUUUGUGAGCUGCGAGUGCCCCAAAGACUUUGAAGGUGCGUACUGUGAGCAGAACGUCUGCUUGAAGAAGAACACUUGCCUCGGCGACGACGGGAGCUCCGCCUCGCCCGUGACCUCACGGCUCGUCGUGCUGAGCCUCGGCCUGCUGGUCUUCGCCUUUUCAUGACCCGCCCACCGUUGAGGAUGUUGUAACCCGGUGAUGCUGCGUAACCACGGUUACAGGAACAUGGCACAUGGGUAGUGGCUGCUGGUUGCAGGAGCGCCACUGCUGGGCUAGUGGGCAGCCUGGGACGGAGUCGGCUCUCUUGGUUGCUUUGUUGGGUGUGUUCCUGUCCCGUGCAAGCCCCCGCCCCAGCGGAGGAUGGCGUAGAGCAGUGCAGAGACCACCGUGGUCUAUGUAGUUUGUGUUUUCUCUAAGCAUGGUGCAAUAAUACAAAUCAUUAUUUGCAAUUUUUUGGGGGGGGUUUCAACGUGUUUUACAUUUGUAGCUGUAUGAAGUAAUGGCACCGCUGAAGUUGCGUCAGCUCUGCGCUUUUUUUUUAAUGUAAUUUGUGUUCUUUGAUGUUAUCUAUCUUGUUUUCAUAUGUUUUAAAGGCCUACUGAAAUGAUUUUUUUUAAUUUAAACGGGAAUAGCAGAUCCAUUCUAUGUGUCAUACUUGAUCAUUUCGCGAUAUUGCCAUAUUUUUGCUGAAAGGAUUUAGUAGAGAAAAUCGACGAUAAAGUUCGCAACUUUUGCUCGCUGAUAAAAAAAAAGCCUUGCCUGUGCCGGAAGUAGCGUGACGUCACAGGAGCUAGUAUUCCUCACAAUUCCCCGUUGUUUACAAUGGAGCGAGAGAGAUUCGGACCGAGAAAGUGAUGAUUACCCCAUUAAUUUGAGCGAGGAUGAAAGAUUCGUGGAUGAGGAACGUUACAGUGAAUGACUUGAGAGGCAGCGAUGGACGUAUCUUUUUUCACUCUGACCGUAACUUAGGUACAAGCUGGCUCAUUGGAUUCCACACUCUCUCCUUUUUCUAUUGUAGAUCACAGAUUUGUAUUUUAAACCACCUGGGAUACUAUAUCCUCUUGAAAAUGAGAGUCGAGAACGCGAAAUGGAUUCAGUGCCUUUUAUCUCCACGACAAUACAUCGGCGAAAUGCUUUAGCUACGAGCUAACGUGAUAGCAUCUUGCUUUAACUGCAUAUAGAAACAAAAUAAAUAAAGCCCUGACUGGAAGUAUAGAUAGAAAAUCAACAAUACUAUUAAACCGUGGACAUGUAAAUACACGGUUAA